CACCACGUGGGGAGAGGGGGUGAGCAGGUAGAGCCACAUCCCAAAAUAGAGACGCUCGCUGCCAUUGCGUGCCUCCUAGGGGCGCAGCCCUCGUUUGUCUUUGAAGAGGUUCCCAAGCAGUCAGCUACAAAAGGGGGCCGCUGCACACGCCUCCCCUCCUGAGCAGGUCUCCGGGGAGUAGUGGUGGGUGGGGGAGAGCUAAGUGGCUGCAGGUGUGCGCUGGGGGGGCGGGUUUCUUUCUUUACACUCCAGGGGUGGUGUGUGUGUGUGUGUGUGUGUGUGUGUAUGUGUGUGGGGCAGGGUCUUUUCGGUAAAAUUGAGGCAGGAAUCUAGUUUCUUGCCCUCCCCCGGCGAUCAUCAUGACUGCGUCUCUUGACUACCUGGUGAUCUUGUUCGGGACGACUGCAGGUGCUCAGGGGGCUAAGCUGGGAUCCGAUGAGAAAGAGCUGGUCCAGCUGCUGUGGAAAGUGGUGGAUCUGGCCCGCAAGAAGGCGGGGAGCCUGCAUGAAGUGCUGGUCAGACCGGAGCACUUGGACCUGACCGAGGAAUGCAAAGACACAACAAAGCUGGAGGCGGAGAGCCUGGCGCGAGCCCCGCAGCUGGAGCAAGCCCUGCAACAGUUUAACCAGUCUGUGAGCAAUGAACUGAAUAUUGGUGUAGGUACUUCCUUCUGUCUCUGCACUGAUGGACAGCUGCACAUCAGACAGCUUCUGCAUCCUGAAGCUUCCAAAAAGAAUAUCUUAUUGCCUGAAUGCUUCUACUCCUUUUUUGACUUGCGAAAAGAGUUCAAGAAAUGUUUCCCUGACUCCUCUGAUGUUGACAAACUGGAUGCUGCUGCCAUGACAGAAUAUUUAAAUCAUGAAAAGAGCAGUCCAGCAUGGCAUUUUGGAGCAUCUCAAGUGGAAGAUAUGGGGAAUAUUAUUUUAACACUAAUUUCUGAAGUAUACAAUCACAGAUUUGCAGAUCCAGAAAGAGUGAACUAUAAAUUUGAAAGUGGUACCUGCAGUAAGAUGGAACUUGUAGAUGAUAACACCAUAAUCAGAGCAAGAGGCUUACCAUGGCAGUCAUCUGACCAGGACAUCGCAAGAUUCUUCAAAGGCCUUAAUAUUGCCAAGGGAGGUGCUGCACUUUGUCUCAAUGCACAAGGAAGGAGGAAUGGGGAAGCUCUUAUCAGGUUUGUAAGUGAAGAGCAUAGAGAUUUAGCACUACAAAGACACAAGCACCACAUGGGGAAUCGGUACAUUGAGGUGUACAAGGCAACAGGUGAAGAUUUCCUUAAAAUUGCAGGAGGUACUUCCAAUGAAGCAGCUCAAUUUUUAUCGAAAGAAAAUCAGGUGAUUGUCCGGAUGCGAGGACUUCCUUUCAAUGCAACGACAGAAGAAGUGCUGACGUUUUUUGGCCAGCACUGCCCUGUAACAGGAGGAAAGGAAGGAAUCCUGUUUGUCACAUACCCUGACAACAGGCCAACAGGAGAUGCCUUUGUGUUGUUUGCUUGUGAGGAAUAUGCACAAAAUGCACUAAAAAAACAUAAGGACUUGCUGGGUAAAAGGUACAUUGAACUCUUCAGGAGCACAGCAGCAGAGGUUCAGCAGGUGCUGAACAGGUACUCUUCUACACCUCUCGUUCCCCUUGCAGCUCCCCCUAUCCUUCCUGUGUUACCUCAGCAAUUCAUGCCUCCGACCAAUGUCAGAGACUGCAUACGUCUGCGUGGUCUUCCCUAUGCUGCCACUAUAGAGGACAUUUUGGAAUUCUUGGGGGAGUUUUCUGCAGAUAUUCGGACCCAUGGGGUUCACAUGGUAUUAAAUCACCAGGGCCGUCCAUCAGGAGAUGCCUUUAUCCAGAUGAAAUUUGCAGACCGAGCAUUUCUGGCUGCACAGAAGUGUCAUAAGAAGACCAUGAAGGACAGAUACAUUGAAGUCUUUCAGUGUUCUGCAGAGGAGAUGAACUUUGUAUUAAUGGGGGGCACUUUAAAUCGAAAUGGCUUGUCCCCACCACCAUGUAAGUUACCAUGUCUUUCUCCUCCAUCCUACUCACUUCCAGCUCCUGCAGCAGUUAUUCCAACAGAAGCUGCUGUUUAUCAACCCUCCGUGCUUUUGAAUCCACGAACGCUGCAGCCCUCCACAGCAUACUAUCCAGCAGGUGCUCAGCUCUUCAUGAACUACAUGUACUAUCCCAGGUAAGGCAAUAAGGAAAUGAGGCAGGAACAAACAAGUCCUUUUACAGCAAAUGCCUGAAGCUCUCAAAAGAGUAUUGGCUCCCAUGCUGAAGGCUUGUGCUAGAGGGAACAGCCUGCUCAGUAUUUGAGCAGGGUAAUUAUUUCAGAAUCCACAGGUGGGGUUCUAGUUUUGGAAUCUCAGGUGGCAAAUUUUAAUGUAUGUAAAAUAUUGGGCAUUUUUCAAAAGUCACAUGCUGUUCAAGUGACUUAGAAACACACUUAUUAUUGCCUUUCCAUGGGAAUUUUCCUUUUUUCAUUAAGGGGCUUUGUGUCAGGUAAAAAUCCCAUAGUUUGCGUCUUAAAAUCAGAGGUUUGCACUAAUGUCUUUUACCAGAAUUUUGCCUCUUCUGACUGAUGCCCUCCACCCUCAAGGUAACUGCUUUUCAGUGGCUCUGUACAGUUAAAGGAUUUUGUAAACUUUGAUGGGGAAAGGCGCUAUAUAAAUGUAAAUAUUCCCACGUGCUUCAGUGCAAGUUGACUGACUAAUGUUCUUUUCCCCCCUUUCUCUCCUCUGAGGGCUUUUUAGCUUUUUCUGGUUAAAGGAAACGAACACCAGUCUCUUGUGGGUGGGGUAUAAUGGGUUUAAUGUAUACUUCACAAUUGCAAGGUAACAAUCUGUUCUGAUUGGAAUGCAAAGUACUUCAUACUGUCAAGAUUGUAUAUGAGACCUGGUCUACACUACAAAGUUAGGUCAACGUAAGAAGUCUUGUGUCGACCUAGUUGUGCAUGCGUCUACAUUUAAACUUGUCUCCCACUGAUAUAAGCACCACGUUACAGCGACACAAUAACACCAUCCCCCCCUUGAGCCAGGGUCGAUGUACUGAGGUCGAUGCAGCACGAGUGUAAACGCUGUUGCCUAUGUCAACUAUAACACUCCUCCAGCAGCUGUCCCACAAUGCCUGACACCAAUAACUCGGCUCACAAUGGUAAAUGCCCAGCGAUUACAGAAUCCGAACAGCCUCCCUUCCCAUUAAAGCCUCGUGUGUUUUUUUUGAAUGACUUUUCCUGACUGUCCAGCUUGACAAUCACAUCUAGCAGCAAUCCAUUGUUUUGUACAACUGCCCAGCUGACCAUGCAGGCAACAUGUUCCAGAGGCACUCUGGGAUGGAGUAGACAGGAGAUACUGGAUCUCCUGGGCCAGUGAGAAGAGGCUGUAUAGGCCCAGCUAUAGAUCACCAAAGAAAGGUGGACAUCUGUGAGCAGAUUGCAGGGGAGAUGCAGGCGAAGGGGUAUGAUGGGGACUGGCAUCAGUGCCAUAUGAAAGCAAAGGAACUGUGUCCAGCUAACAGAAGGCCAGCAAGGCCAACAGUUGAUCUGGUGCCAAGCUGUAGACCUGCCACUUUUACAAAGAGUUGAAUGCUGUACUUGGCGGAGACCCCACCACCACUCCACGGACCACUGAGAAUACCACUAAGAAGCCCAAGUGUCAGGCCCCUGGCAAGGAUGAGGAAGAGGAGGAUGUGAGAGUGGGAGGUCCAGCUACACAGUGAGCCAGAACCUGUCUGAGACUCCACCACAGUCCAGUCGGUCCUGAGAGUUGAGCACAAGCAAGCCUGAUUCAGAGGAAGCAACCUUGGGAUCUUGCUGAAUCGGACCGUGAGCAAGAGGCCUGGAAGGUGAACACAGCAGAUAGCCUGUAUAAAGGCCCAGGAAUCUCAAAAGGAAAAACACAGAGUCAGAUGCACCAGGACAUAACGGGGCUUCUCCGACAGCAAACAGAUGCUGAAGACUCUCUUGUGAAACUACAGGUUCAACAGUCAUGGGCUUGCCAUCCUUUGCAGUUCAUGGAGAACUCCAUUACAGCAUCAUCUCCCUAUACACCAUGGUAUCAGAAGGACACAUCCCUACUCCUACCACUUCAUCCCAAAGAACAUUAAGGACAGCCACACUUCUCAUACACUGACCUGAGACAGCCAUGGUUGCUGUAUGUGUAGGUAAAAUGGACAUGAAUGUUCAUUCCCUUGAAGUUCUGUUCCAUUAAUUUAAGUUUUUAAUGUAUUUCCUUUUAAAUUACAGACUUCUUCUUGGACUGACUUUGUUACUGAAUAAAAUUCUAUUUGG